AUGGAACGCUGGCGGCAUGCCUUACACAUGCAAGUCGAACGGUAACAGGUCUUCGGAUGCUGACGAGUGGCGAACGGGUGAGUAAUACAUCUGGACGUGCCCGAUCGUGGGGGAUAACGAAGCGAAAGCUUUGCUAAUACCGCAUACGAUCUACGGAUGAAAGCAGGGGACCGCAAGGCCUUGCGCGAACGGAGCGGCCGAUGGCAGAUUAGGUAGUUGGUGGGAUAAAAGCUUACCAAGCCGACGAUCUGUAGCUGGUCUGAGAGGACGACCAGCCACACUGGGACUGAGACACGGCCCAGACUCCUACGGGAGGCAGCAGUGGGGAAUUUUGGACAAUGGGCGAAAGCCUGAUCCAGCCAUGCCGCGUGCAGGAUGAAGGCCUUCGGGUUGUAAACUGCUUUUGUACGGAACGAAAAGACUCUGGUUAAUACCUGGGGUCCAUGACGGUACCGUAAGAAUAAGCACCGGCUAACUACGUGCCAGCCGCCGCGGUAACAC
rnacentral:rRNA from 1 species